rnacentral:rRNA from 1 species
UGGGGAAUCUUAGACAAUGGGGGAAACCCUGAUCUAGCCAUGCCGCGUGAGCGAUGAAGGCCUUAGGGUUGUAAAGCUCUUUCAGCUGGGAAGAUAAUGACGGUACCAGCAGAAGAAGCCCCGGCUAACUCCGUGCCAGCAGCCGCGGUAAUACGGAGGGGGCUAGCGUUGCUCGGAAUUACUGGGCGUAAAGCGCACGUAGGCGGAUUAGUCAGUCAGAGGUGAAAUCCCAGGGCUCAACCCUGGAACUGCCUUUGAUACUGCUAGUCUUGAGGUCGAGAGAGGUGAGUGGAAUUCCCGAGUGUAGAGGUGAAAUUCGUAGAUAUUCGGAGGAACACCAGUGGCGAAGGCGGCUCACUGGCUCGAUACUGACGCUGAGGUGCGAAAGCGUGGGGAGCAAAACAGGAUUAGAUACCCUGGUAGUCCACGCCGUAAACGAUGAAUGCCAGUCGUCGGGUUGCAUGCAAUUCGGUGACACACCUAACGGGAUUAAGCAUUCCGCCUGGGGAGUACGGUCGCAAGAUUAAAACUCAAUGAAUUGACGGGGUCAUAGCUGUUUCCU